AUAACCCAAUCAUGGAUGGAUACGCGUAAUGCGCACAUAAAGACACAUCCGUGAAUUCGAUUAUCUGGCCCGGGUUGGUCCCUACCCCAUUGAAGUUUACAUUUAAAAUAGUUAAAGAGCGACUGCCCCUAAAAAAACAGCGAUGUGGCAUUGAUAUGAGUCAAACAUUUAUUCUAGUGUCAAACUUGACUACAAAGUGUUAAAAUAAUAAUUUUGUUCAUGAAGUCAGUCUUGUCUGAAACCGAGUUUAGAACCUCGGGGCAUCACACCGAGUAAAUGAAGGUUGGGUUUCGAUUACAAUUAUGUCAAUAAAUCAUGCCCCUUUUGUCAAACUCCACGUGUAAAUUGCCCCUCCCACUUAGUUUCCUUUCAUGGAUUGGAACUCAAUUGUUUCUUCGUCCUAAACCAAAGCGAUCAUGGCCGUUUGAGACUGAAAAGCCCUAUACGGAUUCACCAUGCAAUGCAUGCUUUCAGCUAGGUUGAAGGUGGGUAUAUUUUAAGGAUGCACACUCAACAACUAUGGUUUGCAUUGCCCUGCAGAAGGACUCCAUCAUGCAAGUUUUAUUCCGUUGGUCCCCAGUGGAUGUCAGUAUACCGGCCGACCAUAGACUGCUGGUUAUGUACGACUGAUCCCGUGGUCAUGAACGGAUGCUGGGACCUACCAGAAGGAGCAACGGUGGGCUUGUCAGGCAAGACCUCAGAAUAAGUGUUUCACUACAAGUACUCUUGUGACACCUCAUCCAUUGUUGCCAGUCUCCCUCAACUCUGAUGAAAAGGACACACCGUCAUGAGAGGCCUCUGACCGUGAGUUACUGCCCUGACGACACAGAUGGCUUCAUCGACAGGCACUUCCAGUCAACACCACCUAAUAAGAUUGGCUGCUGCAGUUGUUUGAGAGAUGUCCAGUUUGCAGCUGAACAUGUAGCAUAGAGAAGACAAGCAUCAUGCAGACAUGCCCUCACAGUGAGCAUUCCUAUGAAUAGAGCAGUUGUGGCUGACAAGUAUCCGACCAGCGACCUUCACUUGUCAGCGGCAACAGCUUUCACAGGAUCAUAAUUUGUACAAAUACAAACAAUUUCUGUAAACUGA